AUUGAACGCUGGCGGCAGGCCUAACACAUGCAAGUCGAGCGGAUGAAGGGAGCUUGCUCCUGGAUUCAGCGGCGGACGGGUGAGUAAUGCCUAGGAAUCUGCCUGGUAGUGGGGGAUAACGUCCGGAAACGGGCGCUAAUACCGCAUACGUCCUGAGGGAGAAAGUGGGGGAUCUUCGGACCUCACGCUAUCAGAUGAUCCUAGGUCGGAUUAGCUAGUUGGUGGGGUAAAGGCCUACCAAGGCCACGAUCCGUAACUGGUCUGAGAGGAUGAUCAGUCACACUGGAACUGAGACACGGUCCAGACUCCUACGGGAGGCAGCAGUGGGGAAUAUUGGACAAUGGGCGAAAGCCUGAUCCAGCCAUGCCGCGUGUGUGAAGAAGGUCUUCGGAUUGUAAAGCACUUUAAGUUGGGAGGAAGGGCAGUAAGUUAAUACCUUGCUGUUUUGACGUUACCAACAGAAUAAGCACCGGCUAACUUCGUG
rnacentral:rRNA from 1 species